rnacentral:rRNA from 1 species
GACGAACGCUGGCGGCGUGCUUAACACAUGCGAGUCGAACGGAAAGGCCCUGCUUUUGUGGGGUGCUCGAGUGGCGAACGGGUGAGUAACACGUGAGUAACCUGCCCUUGACUUUGGGAUAACUUCAGGAAACUGGGGCUAAUACCGGAUAGGAGCUCCUGCUGCAUGGUGGGGGUUGGAAAGUUUCGGCGGUUGGGGAUGGACUCGCGGCUUAUCAGCUUGUUGGUGGGGUAGUGGCUUACCAAGGCUUUGACGGGUAGCCGGCCUGAGAGGGUGACCGGCCACAUUGGGACUGAGAUACGGCCCAGACUCCCACGGGAGGCAGCAGUGGGGAAUAUUGCACAAUGGGCGGAAGCCUGAUGCAGCAACGCCGCGUGCGGGAUGACGGCCUUCGGGUUGUAAACCGCUUUCGCCUGUGACGAAGCGUGAGUGACGGUAAUGGGUAAAGAAGCACCGGCUAACUACGUG